ACUCCUACGGGAGGCAGCAGUGGGGAAUAUUGGACAAUGGGCGGAAGCCUGAUCCAGCCAUGCCGCGUGUGUGAAGAAGGCCUUUUGGUUGUAAAGCACUUUAAGCGAGGAGGAGGCUCCUUUAGUUAAUACCUAAAGAGAGUGGACGUUACUCGCAGAAUAAGCACCGGCUAACUCUGUGCCAGCAGCCGCGGUAAUACAGAGGGUGCGAGCGUUAAUCGGAUUUACUGGGCGUAAAGCGUGCGUAGGCGGCUUUUUAAGUCGGAUGUGAAAUCCCUGAGCUUAACUUAGGAAUUGCAUUCGAUACUGGAAAGCUAGAGUAUGGGAGAGGAUGGUAGAAUUCCAGGUGUAGCGGUGAAAUGCGUAGAGAUCUGGAGGAAUACCGAUGGCGAAGGCAGCCAUCUGGCCUAAUACUGACGCUGAGGUACGAAAGCAU
rnacentral:rRNA from 1 species